rnacentral:rRNA from 1 species
UACAGAGGGUGCGAGCGUUAAUCGGAUUUACUGGGCGUAAAGGGUGCGUAGGUGGUAAAGCAAGUAAGAUGUGAAAGCCCUGGGCUUAACCUGGGAAGUGCAUCUUAAACUGCUUAACUAGAGUAUGGUAGAGGGUAGUGGAAUUUCCGGUGUAGCGGUGAAAUGCGUAGAGAUCGGAAGGAACGCCAGUGGUGAAGACGACUACCUGGACCAAUACUGACACUGAGGUACGAAGGCCAGGGGAGCAAACGGG